CGCAACUGGGUGCUUGGGGGCAGGAGAGGGGAGGGGAAUUCCCCAGCGCAGCGGUGAAACGCGUAGAUAUUGUGAGGAAACACCAGGCGGAAAGGGGGCUUUUUGGCCUGUUUCUGACGCUGAGGCGCGAAAGCGUGGGGAGGCAACGGGAUAAGAUAACCCCGGUAGUCAACCCCGUAAACGAUGGGUGCUAGGUGUAGGAGGUAUCGACCCCUUCUGUGCCGUAGUUAACACAAUAAGCACCCCGCCGGGGAGUACGGCCGCAAGGUGAAACUCAAAGGAAUUGACGGGGGCCCGCACAAGCGGCGGAGCAUGUGGUUUAAUUCGACGCAACGCGAAGAACCUUACCAGGGCUUGACAUCCCCUGACCGCGUAUGAAAGUACGUUUUUUAUCUUCGGAUAGACAGGGAGACAGGUGGUGCAUGGUUGUCGUCAGCUCGUGUCGUGAGAUGUUAGGUUAAGUCCCGCAACGAGCGCAAC
rnacentral:rRNA from 1 species